GACGAACGCUGGCGGCGUGCCUAAUACAUGCAAGUAGAACGCUGAAGGAGGAGCUUGCUUCUCUGGAUGAGUUGCGAACGGGUGAGUAACGCGUAGGUAACCUGCCUGGUAGCGGGGGAUAACUAUUGGAAACGAUAGCUAAUACCGCAUAAGAGUAGAUGUUGCAUGACAUUUGCUUAAAAGGUGCAUUUGCAUCACUACCAGAUGGACCUGCGUUGUAUUAGCUAGUUGGUGGGGUAACGGCUCACCAAGGCGACGAUACAUAGCCGACCUGAGAGGGGGAGCGGCCACACUGGGACUGAGACACGGCCCAGACGCCUACGGGAGGCAGCAGUAGGGAAUCUUCGGCAAUGGACGGAAGGCUGACCGAGCAACGCCGCGUGAGUGAAGAAGGGUUUCGGAUCGUAAAGCUCUGUUGUAAGAGAAGAACGAGUGUGAGAGUGGAAAGUUCACACUGUGACGGUAUCUUAACAGAAAGGGACGGCUAACUACGUG
rnacentral:rRNA from 1 species